UACACCCCUACGGGAGGCAGCAGUGGGGAAUUUUGGACAAUGGGGGCAACCCUGAUCCAGCAAUGCCGCGUGAGUGAAGAAGGCCUUCGGGUUGUAAAGCUCUUUUGUCAGGGAAGAAACGGUGGUGGCGAAUAACUACUACUAAUGACGGUACCUGAAGAAUAAGCACCGGCUAACUACGUGCCAGCAGCCGCGGUAAUACGUAGGGUGCAAGCGUUAAUCGGAAUUACUGGGCGUAAAGCGUGCGCAGGCGGUUGUGUAAGUCAGAUGUGAAAUCCCCGGGCUCAACCUGGGAAUUGCAUUUGAGACUGCACGGCUAGAGUGUGUCAGAGGGGGGUAGAAUUCCACGUGUAGCAGUGAAAUGCGUAGAUAUGUGGAGGAAUACCGAUGGCGAAGGCAGCCCCCUGGGAUAACACUGACGCUCAUGCACGAAAGCGUGGGGAGCAAACAGGAUUAGAUACCCCUGUAGUCCCAUGAU
rnacentral:rRNA from 1 species